GCCAGUAUGGUGAAAUUGGUAUACACGCGUGCCUUAGGAGCACGUGCCGAGAGGCUUGCAGGUUCGAGUCCUGUUACUGGCA
rnacentral:tRNA from 1 species